UGUUGCUCUCAUCAUCCCGUAAGAACCUAUCUCUUUCUGGUCGUUUAUCAUUGUUUUGUGACUGCCAUGCAUGAGCAACUGUUCCUUGUCUGCAGUUGCUGUGAAAAAAAAAGGAGACAUAUGGAGCUGUGCACAAUGCAAGAAAAAGGAUGAUGGCGAAAUAAAAAUGGUUUUGUGUGAUCAGUGCUUGGAAUGGUUUCACUGGCCGUGUGCUUCAGUGAAGAAGGAGGACCUAAAGCGUCACUGGUUCUGUAUGAAGUGUUGCAGUCACACAUAGAUACUUCCUGGAGCAAUAAACGCAUGCUUUUUUUUCUUUUUGCA